AUUGCUAUUGAGAGAAACGGUGACUAUGUUGAGAAGUAGGGAUGUGGUCCACAGAGGACCAGCUUCAUUUUGAUGUAUGAUACAUGUUCCUGUGUUGGUAAUUAUACCUGUCCUAAACAAAAUGGUAUUACUUUUUGACUUACCCUCAUAUGUGUAAGUAUAUAUAUAGGCGUAUGUGU